UAUCUGCCGUGGGCGUUGGAAAAUUGAAAGGGGCUGCUCCUAGUACGAGAGGACCGGAGUGGACGAACCUCUGGUGUUCGGGUUGUCAUGCCAAUGGCAUUGCCCGGUAGCUAAGUUCGGAAUCGAUAACCGCUGAAAGCAUCUAAGCGGGAAGCGAGCCUUGAGAUGAGUUUUCCCUGGCACUAUAAGUGUCCUAAAGGGUUGUCGUAGACUACGACGUUGAUAGGCAGGGUGUGUAAGUGCUGCGAGGCAUUGAGCUAACCUGUACUAAU
rnacentral:rRNA from 1 species